GGCCGCAUAGGUGACGGCGACGAGCACCAUCGACUUCUUGCGUCCGAUGGCGUUGGCGAGCAUCCCGCCGCCGAUCGCGCCGGCGAUCUGGCCG
rnacentral:tRNA from 1 species